AAUGCCCCUGAACUUGAUUCCAACAUAUGUUUCACCCAUAAUUCACCUUUGGCAAAAAUCUCAUCACCUUGUGUGUAAGCUUUCAAAUUACCCAAUUUGUAACUUUCCCUGGCUAUGCGUAUUACAUGCUGUUAAAGUAAAUUGAAAAAUAUUAAAAAAAAAAAUUUUUUUUUCUUUCUCAUUUAUAACAACCCAACAGUAAUGUAAAGAGAGAGAGAGCUUCCUUGAUCUAAAUUCCCCAAAUCCCUAAAUUGGUUUUCUUGUAACCUAAAUCCCUAAAUCAUUGUGGAGCAAAAUUAACGAAGAGAAAGCAUAGGAUGAGUGCAAGCAAUAGUUUUUCAAGCUCUUUAACAUCUCGGAGAAAUCAUGGAGGUAGACCGCUGUACGAUUAUGAGGGCCAAGUUAAGUUUUGCAACUGCGGUCUAAAGGCGCCGCGAUAGGUGUCUUGGAGUUAAAAUAAUCCCGGAAGAAGGUUUUAUUCUUGCAAAUUUUUCAAGCCUUAUGGGUGUCCUUAUUUUGAGUGGCAUGAUGCGAAGAUGAGUGAAAGAGCAACCUAGAUUAUAAAUGGGUUGAGGGCUAGCGUAAGGAAGCCAAGGAAUGCUAUUGAUAAUGUCUCGGAAAAUAAGGUGGAGUGGAGACUCUUUCAAUGGAGCUUAAUGAGCAAAGGGUUGAUCUAGCAACCUAUAAGCAAAGAGGAUAUUGGUUGUGCAUUGCAUUGUCAAUUGCAUGUGGUUUUAUGCUAUUCAAUUUAUCGGGGAAUAGUUAGAAUUUGGUUUGAAGGGUGUACUGUAGAUUUUGUAUAUAAGAGCAAAGUGCUCUUAUAUGUGCUUGAUCUAGAUAGAGUGUAGCUGGAAAUAGAUAGAGUGUAGUUAGAAGGUUGUCUUACUGAUUUCACAACCGUGGUGCCUUUGUCUAUGUUUGACGUAAACUUGAUAUUUUUUAUUGAAUGAAAUCAAAAAAAUUUGAGCA